rnacentral:rRNA from 1 species
CGCACGAGCGCAACCGUAUCUGUUGCGCGGUAAGUCGGACUCAGGAGACGCGGGAUAACCGAGAAGUGGGAGCGUCAAUCAUCAGGCCUUCGAUAGGCUCCCGGCUCAUGCGCAUCGAGGCACAACUACGAUAUACGAUCCAAAAAUGCGUGUAUCGGAGGAUCUCACUGAUCCAGAAUCGGAAUCGCUAUAAUGGUAACGAAAUUCCGGGUGGGUUUCUU